rnacentral:rRNA from 1 species
UGCCAGCAGCCGCGGUAAUACGGAGGAGGCAAGCGUUAUCCGGAAUGAUUGGGCGUAAAGCGUCUGUAGGUGGCCAGCUAAGUCUGCUGUUAAAGAUCACAGCUCAACUGUGGGAAGGCAGUGGAAACUGGCAAGCUAGAGGCUGGUAGGGGUAAAGGGAAUUCCCGGUGUAGCGGUGAAAUGCGUAGAUAUCGGGAAGAACACCGGUGGCGAAAGCGCUUUACUGGGCCAGACCUGACACUGAAGGACGAAAGCUAGGGGAGCGAAAGGGAUUAGAAACCCCCGUAGUCC